CAUGUAAGAAUGACUAUACCAUUACCAUAACAAGUGUGGUUGUCUCUAUUUUAAUUGUUUUGAUGGGAAGUCUCCUAAAUUUUGUUAUCUGGAGGAAAAUGCACCAGAAAGGGACAGGUGUAGACACCCCAAAUGACAAAGACUAUUACAACAAAUUCCCAGCUGUUGAUAUACGAGGAAUAUUUCGCCUUAUGCAGAACUUAGUGAACUUGACCAUCCAAACACUUAUGAAGAACUUCAUCAAAAUGCAAAAGCAGGUGAAGAAAUAUAAAUAGACGCAUUGCUUAUGUUAACA